CAGAAACACCUGAGACUGGAAAUAAUUUUUAAGAGUUCAGAUCUUCAAACUUCCACUAAGUGAGUUUGGAGAUUUAUUAAACUUUAUGGUUCUAAGUAAGAGUUCAUUCUUAUUAUCAUCAUUAUAGUAUCCUUUUAGAAGGCAAUGGAAUUUUGGGGAAAGAAGCCAGAAUUCAUUUAGAUACUGUCCUCUUCCUGAUUAAAAGAAUGGCUAAGGUUAUCGAGGAACUUCAUCAAAGCUGCAGUUUGCCUCAAAAGCAAAAAACGAGAACUUAGGUCUCAUGACAGUUUUGUUGGAACAGUUUUCUGCACUCAAGGAUGUUUUGUCACAUCAAAGCUCUGCUUGAGGCAAGGCGCUUUUCCAAAUAAAGAGCCAGCAAGAAGUGGAGGUGACAAGAACUGAACUUGUUAAAGCCAUGUGCCCGGUGAGUUAGUGAUCCCUUUCUCCCCACUAAAGUCUCACUUUUCCUGAU
rnacentral:lncRNA from 1 species